rnacentral:rRNA from 1 species
UGUGACUGCGUACCUUUUGUAUAAUGGGUCAGCGACUUAUAUUCUGUAGCAAGGUUAACCGAAUAGGGGAGCCGAAGGGAAACCGAGUCUUAACUGGGCGUUAAGUUGCAGGGUAUAGACCCGAAACCCGGUGAUCUAGCCAUGGGCAGGUUGAAGGUUGGGUAACACUAACUGGAGGACCGAACCGACUAAUGUUGAAAAAUUAGCGGAUGACUUGUGGCUGGGGGUGAAAGGCCAAUCAAACCGGGAGAUAGCUGGUUCUCCCCGAAAGCUAUUUAGGUAGCGCCUCGUGAAUUCAUCUCCGGGGGUAGAGCACUGUUUCGGCAAGGGGGUCAUCCCGACUUACCAACCCGAUGCAAACUGCGAAUACCGGAGAAUGUUAUCACGGGAGACACACGGCGGGUGCUAACGUCCGUCGUGAAGAGGGAAACAACCCAGACCGCCAGCUAAGGUCCCAAAGUCAUGGUUAAGUGGGAAACGAUGUGGGAAGGCCCAGACAGCCAGGAUGUUGGCUUAGAAGCAGCCAUCAUUUAAAGAAAGCGUAAUAGCUCACUGGUCGAGUCGGCCUGCGCGGAAGAUGUAACGGGGCUAAACCAUGCACCGAAGCUGCGGCAGCGACGCUGAUGCGUUGUUGGGUAGGGGAGCGUUCUGUAAGCCUGUGAAGGUGUGCUGUGAGGCAUGCUGGAGGUAUCAGAAGUGCGAAUGCUGACAUAAGUAACGAUAAAGCGGGUGAAAAGCCCGCUCGCCGGAAGACCAAGGGUUCCUGUCCAACGUUAAUCGGGGCAGGGUGAGUCGACCCCUAAGGCGAGGCCGAAAGGCGUAGUCGAUGGGAAACAGGUUAAUAUUCCUGUACUUGGUGUUACUGCGAAGGGGGGACGGAGAAGGCUAUGUUGGCCGGGCGACGGUUGUCCCGGUUUAAGCGUGUAGGCUGGUUUUCCAGGCAAAUCCGGAAAAUCAAGGCUGAGGCGUGAUGACGAGGCACUACGGUGCUGAAGCAACAAAUGCCCUGCUUCCAGGAAAAGCCUCUAAGCAUCAGGUAACAUCAAAUCGUACCCCAAACCGACACAGGUGGUCAGGUAGAGAAUACCAAGGCGCUUGAGAGAACUCGGGUGAAGGAACUAGGCAAAAUGGUGCCGUAACUUCGGGAGAAGGCACGCUGAUAUGUAGGUGAAGUCCCUCGCGGAUGGAGCUGAAAUCAGUCGAAGAUACCAGCUGGCUGCAACUGUUUAUUAAAAACACAGCACUGUGCAAACACGAAAGUGGACGUAUACGGUGUGACGCCUGCCCGGUGCCGGAAGGUUAAUUGAUGGGGUCAGCGCAAGCGAAGCUCUUGAUCGAAGCCCCGGUAAACGGCGGCCGUAACUAUAACGGUCCUAAGGUAGCGAAAUUCCUUGUCGGGUAAGUUCCGACCUGCACGAAUGGCGUAAUGAUGGCCAGGCUGUCUCCACCCGAGACUCAGUGAAAUUGAACUCGCUGUGAAGAUGCAGUGUACCCGCGGCAAGACGGAAAGACCCCGUGAACCUUUACUAUAGCUUGACACUGAACAUUGAGCCUUGAUGUGUAGGAUAGGUGGGAGGCUUUGAAGUGUGGACGCCAGUCUGCAUGGAGCCGGCCUUGAAAUACCACCCUUUAAUGUUUGAUGUUCUAACGUUGACCCGUGAUCCGGGUUGCGGACAGUGUCUGGUGGGUAGUUUGACUGGGGCGGUCUCCUCCUAAAGAGUAACGGAGGAGCACGAAGGUUGGCUAAUCCUGGUCGGACAUCAGGAGGUUAGUGCAAUGGCAUAAGCCAGCUUGACUGCGAGCGUGACGGCGCGAGCAGGUGCGAAAGCAGGUCAUAGUGAUCCGGUGGUUCUGAAUGGAAGGGCCAUCGCUCAACGGAUAAAAGGUACUCCGGGGAUAACAGGCUGAUACCGCCCAAGAGUUCAUAUCGACGGCGGUGUUUGGCACCUCGAUGUCGGCUCAUCACAUCCUGGGGCUGAAGUAGGUCCCAAGGGUAUGGCUGUUCGCCAUUUAAAGUGGUACGCGAGCUGGGUUUAGAACGUCGUGAGACAGUUCGGUCCCUAUCUGCCGUGGGCGCUGGAGAACUGAGGGGGGCUGCUCCUAGUACGAGAGGACCGGAGUGGACGCAUCACUGGUGUUCGGGUUGUCAUGCCAAUGGCACUGCCCGGUAGCUAAAUGCGGAAGAGAUAAGUGCUGAAAGCAUCUAAGCACGAAACUUGCCCCGAGAUGAGUUCUCCCUGACUCCUUGAGAGUCCUGAAGGAACGUUGAAGACGACGACGUUGAUAGGCCGGGUGUGUAAGCGCAGCGAUGCGUUGAGCUAACCGGUACUAAUGAACCGUGAGGCUUAACCUUACAACGCCGAAGCUGUU